GUAACGAGCGCAACCCUUGUCCUUAGUUACCAGCACGUUAUGUGGGCACUCUAAGGAGAACCUGCCGGUGGACAAACCGGAGGAAGGUGGGGAUGACGUCAAGUCCAUCAUGGCCCUUACGGCCUGGGCUACACACGUGCUACAAUGGUCGGUACAAAGGGUUGCCAAGCCGCGAGGUGGAGCUAAUCCCAUAAAACCGAUCGUAGUCCGGAUCGCAGUCUGCAACUCGACUGCGUGAAGUCGGAAUCGCUAGUAAUCGUGAAUCAGAAUGUCACGGUGAAUACGUUCCCGGGCCUU
rnacentral:rRNA from 1 species